AACCCUAAAGCUCUAUCUCUCGCUCCCUCAGCCUCCGCCAACCUCUAUCUCCUUCUCUCUUCGUCUUUCUGCCUACCCACCCCGUCGCCCGCAUCCCACACUCUCCCCUACCCUGCCGCCCUCCGCACAAUGGUGUUCCGACUAGGCGCGUUGCGCCUCGCUGCCGUUUCUGGCCGUUGGAUCCGGUGGUCGUCCGACGAGGUGCGCCGAGCCGCCCUUCCUCGCCGCUAGUUCCGGUUCCUCUCCGACGAGGAGCGCCGCGCCGCCGGUCCUCCUCCUCCCUCUCCUCUGCAGGUGACGUCGUCGGCCGGAUCGAGACAACCGGCCAGAGCAGGCGUGUGGAGGCUGACUUGACCACCGGCCAGAUCCGCCCCUGAUGGGCUUUGCUUCCGCUUGAUUCGACCGGCCCUGUGCUCGCCAGCAGCCUCACGACAGGAUACUGAGGUUGCUGGUGUCAUGUAAUAUUUUGUUUGGUGAAUCAAUAGAUCUGGAAAUGGUUGCAUGGACGCUGCAAGAGGAAGAAGAUGAUAAAGCUUUGAUUUUCUUUGUGCCAAUUUUUUUGUACCUUUUCCAGCAUGUACAGUUGACAGCGUAUGGGAAAAGGUGUGUAACAAUUGUGCCGAGCUAUUUUAAGCGGUUUAAGCCAUUGUACUCAUUGAUGCAGAGCAGUUAUUGCAAAAAUCUGUUAUUUAUUUCGAAAUUGUUGAAAAUAAUCAAUAUAUUUUAGCCAUUUUAGGCAUCGGA